GCUGCUCUGGCCCGGCUCCCUGUGCCAGACACCCUGCUGCUGCUCUUCAAACCUUUGGCCUCGUCCUGUGAAAGCCAGCGGGCCAUGCAUUUGAAGGCCUUGGCCCUUUGGCCGGGCUGUUGGAAGAGUGUGAGCAAUGAUGCCCUCUACUUGAGGCAAUAAAACUGGGAGGAGGAAAUUGCUGGGUCAAAGUCACUUGCAAGUGGAGACUCCUCACGUACUAAAGCAACUGCCUUUAAAGCCAAAUACUUACUUAACCUCGGUGCUGUCUCUUGCUCCUUUUCUCCUCUUUCUCUCUCAACAUUCAUCUCAGGUAUUUCCACACCUCACCCAGCACUGAAAAACGGGAUCUUCAUCAUAGGUUUGUCCUCCUGUAACAUGGCUGACUUGGAGAAGGACAGGAGAAGCUGCAGUUUGUCAGGGAUGAGCCUUCUGGUGCUUGCUGGAUGUAACAGCAACUCCAUGUGGAAGCGCUGUGUGUUCCAGUGGAGGUGCUGUUACCUGCAGAGAGUCGCCGAACACAACACUUCCUGAGAGGUCGCAAAGCUCGCUCUUUCAUUGAAUGUUGAGUUUUGUUUUUUUUUUCCUUUUGAAGCAGCUGAAGAGUAAUGGGACACAAGGUGAUGACCUAUGAAUUGACAGCCAGUGAUUGUAACAUCUGCCUGUCAGUUCCGUAGGCCACUGCUGUGUUUGUCCCUCCGACUGCGCACAGUACAGAUGAGGAUGGGACGUCGGUGCCUUUUAUACACAUCACAAUCGUUUUUAGAAGCGUAUUUUACAAUGAAUAAAGUUUGAAUGGGUUGCUUUA